CAGGUUGAGCCAGGGGAGGUUUAGAUUCAGUAUUAGGAAAAAUUUCUUCACUGAAAGGGUUGUCAAGCAUUGGAACAGGCUGGCCAAGGAAAUGGUGGAAUUACCGUCCCUGGAAGCGUUCAGAAAACAUGUGAGUGUGGAACUUGUGAAAAUACUUUAGUGGUAACACGGCAGUUGGUAGGAUUGAGGUUGGACUUGAUAAUCCUAGAAGUCUUUUCCAACCUAAAGGAUUCUGUGAAUGUACUGGCUUCAAUUCUACCACUUUAGUGGCCUUGGGCAAAUGAGUUAGUUACUGUGAUUCCACUCAUUAAACGGUUUUAUUGAGGAUUUGCUGAAUUAUGACCAUGUUUCUUAAUGCCUAAAUUAAAUAAGUAGUGAUGUGAAGCCUGAGGUACAACCUGUUGGAAGCCUUAAUGUUCUACACUGAUAUUUGUGUGGUUCAGAUCCUUUCAGUCCAGAAAAAAUACGUUCAAAGCUAGCUCCAAGCAGAGGAGACAGCUAUAAAUAAUACAUCAUGACUAAGUAGAUUAGAGUUCUUCAUAGGAGUUGGAAGAGGGAGUAAUUCCAACGUCGAGAGUGGCCUACUUUGAUAGCUGUAGUGUAGCUUAUCCCCCUAUUCCUUACUCAACAUGUAUGAAAGAUGGAUAUCUAAGUUCUGGAGGUGACUGGUGGCACAUCUACUUUAUGCCUGUCUGCUGAUACCAGUGCUGCUGAAUCUGAGGGUGUGGCACUGUCAGGAAUUUCCUUAAUGAAAGAGGGCAUAAUUGCACAAAAUGUGUGUGUUUUGAGCAGUGUUGAUUUUGGAUGAUCUAAGACAACUCUGAAACAGGGCUGUCUUAUCUCUACUUGGCAUUCACUAUUGCUGCUUCUGGAAGUAAUGUACUGAGAGUUCAAAAGUCUUCAGCACAUUUUUUUUUGGUGUGGCAUCAUUGGUACUUAAAACUGUGAAGCUGAGGUUCAGCAUGCUGGCGACACAGAUCUCACCAUAGCCUGAGAAGAAGAUUGAUGUGUUAAAAAUUAAUUCACAUAGUGACUGCUGAGUGUGUGGGCGUUUGGUGUGCUUGCUGCUGUUCAAAAACGCUUUGCAAGUUGCCUUCUGUUUCAGAGAAAGAUUAGUUUACCUUUGCUUUAGUAUAGAUUCUGUUGUAUCAUAAUAGAGAAAUUGAUGGUUCCUGGAAUAAAUGUUUACACUUAAUAGUCAAAAUUUCACACAUUUUCCAGUACAAAUGAAGGUGUGCAACUUGCAGUUGCAGAAGCUGUUCUAAAAGAAGAAAAAAUCUCUGCUUACUCUGUUGUAACAUACAUCUCAGCAGGAUUAGGUGUGUAGUAUCUUUGUUGUCUUUGGCUCUUUCUCUCUAAACCUCCAGGAAAUCUGAAGACUGAAACCUUUGAUAGGGGAAUUCUGUGAACUAAAGUCACCGAAGUGUUGAUUUGUGAUGUCUUUUCCUCUUCCUGUCCAUCAGAACGGACUUUCAAAAAAAUUCCAGUUUUUUUAAGUGCCUUCCUAAUGGCCAACAACUUGUCUAUCUGCUGUUACCCUAUUCAUUAUUAACUGAAAAUGUUAAAUAAUCAUAAAAAUGCUGUAUUUUAUACUGCUGCUACAAACAGGUGAUGUAAGUGAACUGAUGCUGAAAGGAAGAUGUUUUUCUCUUCUGUUUUCCCACUGAAUGAAGAAGUAACAAUUCAACCCUUUGGGCCUCGUUUCUGUUCUUCACAGGUCUGGGUAUUCAGUUUCAGCUUUGCUGAUGCUUUUAGCUGUGCAGUUGGGCCUCUCCCAGCUCGGUGCUUAAGAGAUAUGAAAGAAACCUAUUGAUGCAUUCUGGAUCUACUGUUGAAAAACAUGCCAGGAUGUCUGUAUUUCAGAAGUACAGUAGUCCACAGAUCUGCUAUAGGUGCAAAGUGUCAAGAGGAAUCUACUGGACAGUUCUUUUCUAGAAAUUGCCCAAAGAAGAACCUAUGCCAGUAACGAGCAUUCAGGAAUUCCGUGUCAACUCUUAACCUGCAUUUUCUUCACCAUGUUUUUGUGGAAGCUGUACAGAAAAGUAAAAUGAACGUCUCUUUGACAAUGGUGUAAUACUCAUAAGCUGACAAUUUCAGAUUCAUCAACUGGCAAGGAACAUGUGACAAGAUGCCUUUUUGGAUGCUAAUCUACACUUGUGCAACAGGAUUGUCAUCUCUACGUGCCUUGGAACAUCUUAGGCGUAGGAGUCAGGGGCUUGAAUGGAUUAGGCACUGGCAGAGACGUAGAUUUUGGCAGUGCCUUGAACUAGGACGUGAUAAUCUGCAUGAUGCAUGCGAGUAGAAUAAACAUGGAAGAGAAGUCUUAAAAUGUUGAAGGCACUUCCAUAGAAAGGAGAAUUAUUGAUGAGUAUCUGAACAGUGGUAAAGAUGUUUCCAAGAUGACACUGGUGUCCCACAUUGGUGUACAACUGGAAUAGAUGAGGCAAGAAAGACGUGGGACAUCUACAGCUUGACUCCAUUUUACAGAAGCAUCAGCACAGAGAUAAAGCAGCUUUGCCCCAGAGCUACAGUGCAAGUCUGAAAUGGAGCUGGAAACUGAACCGUGACAUCCAGAGACCUAAGUCUGUGGCUGAACUACAAGCCUGUCUUAUGUCAUGAGGAUUUAGACAAGAACUGUCACUGGAUAAAGAAGAGGAGAAGCACUGUGAAGCAUUACACUCUUGCUUUGUGGUGAUUUUUGCACUAAAAGUUCUCUUCCUUGUCUGUUUACCCACAACACCUCCCAGACCAUCACAUCGAUCCUUCUUGCUCCUACAGACCUUGUGGCUGAGGUUCCCAGAUAGUACCUGAGGAGCAGUUGGGUUGUAUAAGCGGUGAUGUCCUGAGGCUUUUUGAGAGCAGAACUUCCAAAUUAAUACUUUGGGGCUUAAUUUGUUCAGUAAAACUGUUUCAUGCAUUCCUCAUGCUGUAGCAUUUCUUACCAUGUGUGGACAAUUGUAUCACUGAGAACAGAACUCCUGCUUGUUCUCUAAACAGCAUUGGAUGAGAGAAAGAGGAGAGAUCUGGUCUUUUUUUCUUAGUUCAUUCAUUGCUGCCACAGUAACAGCAUGUCCUGUGCUGGAAGAGGCAGUCACUGGAAUGGAUAGGAGCUGGUGAUACUUCUUUUGGUAAAUUCUCAUAAAUCAGGAAGUGUGUACCUCACAGUUGUGGCCAAACUGCAGUCCAGACCUUUAGUGUUCGGUUUUCUGUGGACUGAUCUCACUUCUUGCUCCUGGCUUUAGUAAAUCAGUCUUUUGUCUUAUCAUAUCAGGGUAUCAGGUUAAUCUUGUUGCUGUUUUCCAUCACACGACCACAUUUCCUGGUGGAAAUAGGAAUCAUGAAGUGACCCUAAAACCAAGUAUCACUUUUGUACUUCUAAAAGACGACAGUUGAUAUUAAAUACUUCUUUUAUACCCCUGAAGGGUGCUUUGUCUUUAGAUCAUGGAAUAGGCCUAUGGGGAGAAUUUUCAUGUGAAAGAUGUCAUGCAGAAAUUUAGCAGAAACUAAUAAGUGAGGUGUUGGGAACAUUAAAUGGUGUAGGUUGCAUUUUGAAAUCAGUAUUGCGUGGACUGGCUACUGGUGCAGUACCACCAUCUGAUGUAUGAGGGAGUGAAUCAUCUGGCUUACAUGUUUAGUACUUAAGAAACUAAAGGUAGUUCAUGUAGUUCAGCUAUGGUGUGAAGUGAUCUCCAGCAGUGAUCGCCAACUGUGUAGAAUGGCAAUGGUUUCUGCCCACUAGAAAUGAAUUUCCAGGAAAGCACAUGACUUACUUUGUUCACCUUGCUUUUGCUAAUAGAAAGAAACUGAGAGCUUUUAUCAGCGGUAACAGGUUUUGCAUUGAGUGAGGAUCCUUGUCUCAUAGCAGAUGUACUUAUUUGCAUAGGAGUGAGAUAGUUUCCAGUGGGUUCAGCUAAUUCAGCUACUAUGUGCCAUUUCCUGAUGAGGAGUGUAGAGGGAGCUGAAAUGAUCUGCUGUGCAAACACAGAGAACAGGUAUAUGCAAUGAGCUUGGCCAAGUAUGUUUAAGCAUCUUGAGCUGGUGGGGUAACUUUAUUCUGAUAGAAUGAAAAGUUGCCCUCUUAAAGCUCUUUAAUGAGAAUUCACUAUAAAAUUUGACACUUAGUCUUAAAAAAAAAACGUUUUCCAGUGUCAUGGUUUUCAGGUGAGAAAAUAAUCUUUCCUUUAACCAACAGGACAGGAUAGUGGAUGCUAGAUUUCUGUAAGGAGUGUGGGAUGCUUUUAGAUCACUUAAGAGUUGCCUUUAUCUCUGUAGAAGAUUAUCAGUCAUGUCGGUUGCUGUGUUUCAGCCAAAGUGGAGUUUGCCAAAAUUGCAAGAGGUGUAACUUUUUUUUAGUGGUGAUGAGACCCAAAGUUGAACCUAGGAAAUUGAAGUGUCUUUCCAGGGUAAUGUUCACCCAGCUGCCUUGGUUUGUCUUUGGUCUGUGUAACCAAGGCAGAAACUUGGUUACAUUGGAAACCCGGCUUUUAAAACAUAGUAGAUCUGAAUUUCACUGGUUAGAAACACAAAAAUAAUAUCUGUGGAUCUUGUCCUAGCAGACUGUGGAAGUUACGUCCUGUUUUUCCUCUAGGAUGAGUUGCUGAAACAGUCCUGCUCCCUUUUAUAGUGGCAUUCUGCCCAUCCCUUGUUAGAGAAGCCACCCAGGGAAGGAAGAGCUCUACCUGUAAGUGAGAGUGGUGUGACAAGUACAGAAGUUUGUGCUUCGUGGCCAAUUGAGCUUCCUUUUUAUGUUCACUGUCAUCUUCCCCUGCUGUUUUCUGUUGCCAACACUAGAUGUUUUUUUCAUGUUUAGGAAUCAGGAAUAUCUCAAAUCUUACCCAAAUUUUAAAUAAUUUCCAGUUCUUUGUCUCCAGUACCCCAUGGGUGAGAUAUCCCUCUGGGCAUACCUCAAAGGUCAGAUGAGUUUUUUUAAGCAGAACUUGGCAACUGCACUCUCCAGGUGGGAAAAAUAAAGUGGACUUUCAUGUAACAAUAAAUGUACAUAAGUAAUUUGAUAGUAUUCUUGUCAAAAUAAAUGGUACAACCAGUGGGGCAUCAAGGCGAGUUUCAUCUGAUUCAUUAAGGCAAUUAGCCAGAGGUGCUGCUAGCCAGGAACUGAUAAGAAAAACAGAUUUCGUUCUAAGAGUUUGGCUGAAAUUUUAAUUGCACUUCUCCCUGUGUUAGUCAAGAAAAUUACUUUCAGUUUAGAAAUGAAUACUGAUAACUCUAGAGAGAAGUCCUGAUGCAGCAUCCUGCCCCCACUGGCGGUGCUUUCAGAAGACACAAGGUGGCAGUCGGGGCAAGUCUGCACCCAGCAGAGGGCUGGCAACCAGUGAUCAGGAAACAGGCAUUUUGCAGGGGUUUUGGCUUCCCUUUCAAAUUUUGAACUUGAUUCUGUAUGACUCAGUCUAGUUAGACACUUCAAGGAGACAGGCUGAGGCCAUGCCUGUUGCAAGAUGCCACUACCCUGCCACCCUGCCUGCUGUGCUGAUACAUCAGCCCAAUAACAGACAUGAAGUGUGGGCUGUGAAUUUCACAGUGAUUGUGGUUUCUAGUGAACCCUGAAAUCUGGCAAAUGUUACAACCUGGGCAUUCUUCUAGAUGCUCUCUAGCCACGCUCCCUGUGCUGUUUCAAGGGCUGUUGCUCAGCUCUCUGAUGU